rnacentral:misc_RNA from 1 species
UGGUUCUGGCAUNGAUGAAGAACGCAGCAAAAUGCGAUAAGUAAUGUGAAUUGCAGAAUUUCGUGAAUCAUCAAAUCUUUGAACGCACAUUGCGCCUUCUGGUUAUUCCGGGAGGCAUGCCUGUCUGAGCGUCAUUAACAUCAUUCAAUCCGCCUUUGGUGGUUUGGUUUUGGAAGCAAGACCCUUUUGGGGUCUCUUCUGUAAUUGAUGGACAACCGAAAUACCUUUUUGUGAGUGUCUUCGUUGUGGCGAAGAAAUUCUCUCUCAGCUUUGGGACAUUUCCAAAUGGUAUUUUUUGCUCGGUUCAAACUUUGUGGGUAGCCAACUCCAAUUGGCUGCUUGCGUUUUACAAGUUUGACCUCAGACAGGUAGGAAUACCCGCUGA